rnacentral:rRNA from 1 species
GAGUUUGAUCGUGGCUCAGGAUGAACGCUGGCGGCGUGCCUAAUACAUGCAAGUCGAGCGAACAGACGAGGAGCUUGCUCCUCUGACGUUAGCGGCGGACGGGUGAGUAACACGUGGAUAACCUACCUAUAAGACUGGGAUAACUUCGGGAAACCGGAGCUAAUACCGAAUAAUAUAUUGAACCGCAUGGUUCAAUAGUGAAAAACGGUUUUGCUGUCACUUAUAGAUGGAUCCGCGCCGCAUUAGCUAGUUGGUAGGGUAACGGCUUACCAAGGCGACGAUGCGUAGCCGACCUGAGAGGGUGAUCGGCCACACUGGAACUGAGACACGGUCCAGACUCCUACGGGAGGCAGCAGUAGGGAAUCUUCCGCAAUGGGCGAAGCCUGACGGAGCAACGCCGCGUGAGUGAUGAAGGUCUUCGGAUCGUAAAACUCUGUUAUUAGGGAAGAACAAAUGUGUAAGUAACUAUGCACGUCUUGACGGUACCUAAUCAGAAAGCCACGGCUAACUACGUGCCA